rnacentral:rRNA from 1 species
GAUGAACGCUAGCGAUAGGCUUAACACAUGCAAGUCGAGGGGCAGCAUGAUCUUAGCUUGCUAAGGUUGAUGGCGACCGGCGCACGGGUGCGUAACGCGUAUGCAACUUGCCUUACAGAGGGGGAUAACCCGUUGAAAGACGGACUAAAACCGCAUACACUUGUAUUAUUGCAUGAUAUUACAAGGAAAUAUUUAUAGCUGUAAGAUAGGCAUGCGUCCCAUUAGCUGGUUGGUGAGGUAACGGCUCACCAAGGCGACGAUGGGUAGGGGAACUGAGAGGUUUAUCCCCCACACUGUUACUGAGACACGGACCAGACUCCUUCUGGAGGCAUCAUUGAGGAUUUUUGGUCAAUGGUCGAAAGCCUGAACCUGCUAAGUCGCGUGGUGUGAUGAUAGUCCGAAGUGGUGUGAACUUCUUUUAUACUGUGAUUGCGGGGUAUAGGAGUAUUUCUUUGAAUGGCCGUAAGAUAAGCGUGGUGUGCUCCGUGCUGGCUGUCUCGUUAUGCUUGGGUGGUGAGUGUUUCUGGUUUUUUGGUUUGAUGGUUGUUUGGUGUUUGGUUGUUUGUUUGUUUAUCGAUUGUUUAAUCGUGUUGCUUGGUGUUUUGUGCUGUGUGUGCUGAUGUGAGGUGGUGAGGGGUAGUGUUGGUGUUGUGUGUAUGUGCGUUAUUUGUGUGUGACUGCUGUGGUUGUGUGUGCUGUGUGUGUGGUGUGUGCUGUGUGUGCUUGUGGUGGUUUUGGUGUUUGCUGGUGUUGUUGGCUGUGAAAGUGUGUCGCGCUAGCGUAGUGGGUGUGUGAGUGGUGGUGCGCCUUGUCUGGGUUGUAAUAAAAAAAUAAUAAUGUGAUGUAUGUGUGUUUGUUGUGUGUUGUAGUUUAUGUGAUUGUGUGUUUGCGUGUGUGUGUGUGGUGUGUGGUAU